rfam:Corchorus capsularis cultivar CVL-1 contig12081, whole genome shotgun sequence.
AUGCCAUGUUGAGGGCAAUCAGCAAAAAGCCUCUUGAAUCUUUCCCAAACUUGGUAAAAAUUCUCAUCUUUGCGCUGUCGAAAAUUUGCAAUCCUUUGUCUGCCCUU